rnacentral:rRNA from 1 species
GAUGAACGCUGGCUACAGGCUUAACACAUGCAUGUCGAGGGGAAACGACGGGGAAGCUUGCUUCCCCGGGCGUCGACCGGCGCACGGGUGAGUAACGCGUAUCCAACCUGCCUCUGACUGAGGGAUAACCCGUCGAAAGUCGGCCUAAUACCUCAUGGUAUCGUCUGCGGGCAUCCAACGACGAUUAAAGAUUUCAUCGGUCAGGGAUGGGGAUGCGUCUGAUUAGCUUGUUGGCGGGGUAACGGCCCACCAAGGCUACGAUCAGUAGGGGUUCUGAGAGGAAGGUCCCCCACAUUGGAACUGAGACACGGUCCAAACUCCUACGGGAGGCAGCAGUGAGGAAUAUUGGUCAAUGGGCGAGAGCCUGAACCAGCCAAGUAGCGUGCAGGAAGACGGCCCUAUGGGUUGUAAACUGCUUUUAUGCGGGGAUAAAGUGAGGGACGUGUCCCUCAUUGCAGGUACCGCAUGAAUAAGGACCGGCUAAUUCCGUG